rnacentral:rRNA from 1 species
UACAGAGGGUGCGAGCGUUACUCGGAAUUACUGGGCGUAAAGCGUGCGUAGACGGUCAAGUAAGUCGGGUGUGAAAUCCCCGGGCUCAACCUGGGAACUGCAUCUGUGACUGCAUCGCUGGAGUGCGGCAGAGGGGGGUGGAAUUCCGCGUGUAGCAGUGAAAUGCGUAGAGAUGCGGAGGAACACCGAUGGCGAAGGCAGCCCCCUGGGCUAACACUGACGCUCAGGCACGAAAGCGUGGGGAGCAAACAGG